rnacentral:rRNA from 1 species
CCUACGGGAGGCAGCAGUAGGGACUAUUGCUCAAUGGGGGAAACCCUGAAGCAGCAACGCCGCGUGGAGGCUGAAGGUUUUAGGAUUGUAAACUCCUUUUGUUAGAGAAGAUUAUGACGGUAUAUAACGAAUAAGGACCGGCUAAAUUCGUGCCAGCAGCCGCGGUUAUACGGAGGGUGCAAGCGUUACUCGGAAUCACUGGGCGUAAAGAGUGCGUAGGCCGGGUAAUAAGUCAGAUGUGAAAUGCUGUAGUUUAACUACAGAACUACAUUUGAACCUGUUACUCUGGGGUGUGGGAGAGGUAGUGGAAUUCUUGGUGUAGGGGUAAAAUCCGUAGAGAUCAAGAGGAAUACUCAUUGCGAAGGCGACCUGCUGGAACAUUACUGACACUGAUGCACGAAAGCGUGGGGAGCAAACAGGAUUAGAUACCCGAGUAGUC